AUCGUUUCUCAGCCUUUUGGCUAAGAUCAAGUGUAGUAUCAUUCUCUAUAACUCAAAAUCCUUGUUAGAUUGUGUUCCUCCUAGGAUGAGAUUUCAUUCUGAUAGGAUGGUUAUUUGAAAGUUACUGCUCAAUUUUUAUUUCCUUAGAAAUUACUUA
ensembl:snRNA U2 U2 spliceosomal RNA